UACAGAGGUCCCAAGCGUUGUUCGGAUUCAUUGGGCGUAAAGGGUGCGUAGGUGGCGCUGUAAGUCGGGUGUGAAAUUUCGGAGCUUAACUCCGAAACUGCAUUCGAUAACUGCGGUGCUCGAGGACUGGAGAGGAGACUGGAAUUCAUGGUGUAGCAGUGAAAUGCGUAGAGAUCAAUGAGGAAGACCAGUGGCGAAGGCGGGUCGUCUGGACAAGUUCCGUGACACUGAGGCACGAAGGCCAGGGGAGCAAACAGG
rnacentral:rRNA from 1 species